AGGACCCCCCAUGGAGACUGCACCCAUGGAGACCCCCCAUGGAGACUGCACCCAUGGAGACCCCCCCAUGGAGACUGCACCCAUGGAGAGCCCCCACUGUGACAGCCCCACAGUGACGCCCCCAUGGUGGUGACUCCCCCCACCACAGUGACUGCCUGUGGCUUGUCCACCUUCCCCCCACCAAGGCUUAGGGCCUCUCCAUGUUAGACUCUAGUUGAGUGUAUUGAAGUUCAGUAGAUAGAAAAUACUAAAUACUGAAAAGACUUGUUUUUAAGGCUACUUAAAUGACAAAAAUACAUAUACAGGUGUGAACAUAAAUCUAAUUUAAAAGCUGUUGGAACGCCCCCCCCAAACAGUUUAAGCCUUGAGAUGUGACCGUGACCUGAUUCAUGUGUAGUUAUGACUUCCGCUUCUCAGAUUAUAGAUGAACUCACUUUCCUGUAGUUCUUGUUCCGUAACUGUAACAAAGGCUAGGGAGAAUUAAAUGACGUCAGGGACAGAAACCUGCCUUCUUAGUUAAUGACCCUGUUAUAGAUUAACUUCCCCUUUGUUGCCCUGCUUUGCUUAGAGAAAACCCGUGACUGUUACACCCUCUGUGAGAAUGGGAGUGUGCCCUUCCAAGAAGAAACUGCCUAUAACCAGCCAAAUUGCCGGAACUGUGUGGAAACUGUUGUAAUCCCGCUAACUACUGUCUCUGCCGGUGUAAUGACUCCUCAGCUUCCUGCUUCAGAAUGGAUGCCACUCCUUGGAGUUGGCGUUUCCAAGUGGCCAUCCCCAAACUUUGCACGUGAACAAACUCUCUUUAAAUUAACGCAGGAGUCUAGGUGCUUUCAAGACUAGGUUUCCACAGCCAUAGCAGAGUGGAGAUUUGGGGAUUGUUUGGGAGACAAGAGAAUCAUCUCCUGCACUUACGAAGAUCCAUUAUUUGUGGCUGCCCGGAUCACCCUGGCUCAGCAGGAGCAGUGACUGGGAUCAACUAGUGAUGUCUGCCGUGGGCAGGGUACCUGCAUCAUGAGAGGUGUCUGCCAUCUUUGCUCUGCAGGGCCCCAGCAUCAUCUGCUGGGUCAUGUUCUGUUGCUGCCACACACCUACCUCCACCCCAGGACAGACCUGAGCUAACACAGGCCUCCAUGCUGCUGGGCAGGGUCUCCUCUGGUCUCGUAUAGACGGUUCACCAGAAGCCUGUGCACAAGCCCGCUGCACAAAGACAGCAGGUCAUUGGUGUAUCAGUGUGUGUGCGAACUUGUAACAAACACGUCUUCCACUUUGCUCUGGCUCAUCAUAAACUGACAUGUUCCUUCCUGUCCUUGCAUGGCUGCAAAGGGCCCUUAACAUGGCCAUAAACUGUCUCUGACCCACACCUUCCUAUUUAAAUACUGUAUAUCUUCACUGAGAUCUUCUAUUAUAUACAAAGAUGUUUAAAAUUCAUUUGCAACAGAAUAAACACAAGCCUGGGUUUAGAACUAUGCCCCCGGAAACUUUUUUUAUCCUAACAAUGCAACCACACAAUGCUAAUUUAAUGAUAAUAGAAGGACAUUUUAAAACACAGCUGAGUUUUGGGACAGUAUGACAAAACAGAAGUUAAAAAAAAAAAAUACUUGGUAAUUAUAGCCCAAGUUCCCGUUUUCCCCACAGUGAAGUCAAGAUUUGAAAGGGAGAGGAGGGGUGCAGCUACAGCUUGACACAUCUGGAGUUCACAGGCAUAUAUUCAAUUGUCAAAGAGCUCCAAGCUCAUAGGAAUGACAGAAAUGGUGCAGUACGCAGGAAGAACAAACCAUAGUGACUUUUU